CCUACCACCACCAGCCUCCGCUUCUGCGUGGUUUUUGCCACACUCGGCUCAGGGCCUCCAAUGGGAUUUACUCUUGGGGAAAGAAGCUUCUUCCUUAAAGACGGUUCCCCAUGAACUCCCCAUAUUAAUUUUUGGGACAUUCAAGUGGUGGGUUAAUUCUGUGUAGCUGUUUUGUUAUUGUUGCAAAAUAACCUGUAAGUCUAUAAAUAUUCUGCUUGUAUGGAAUUGUUGUACUGUGCUGGGGAUGAAAAAUCGCUUUGGCUUUUCUGGAAGGGGAUUUUAUUUCUGCACUUUCUGCCUCUUGCUGGGCAGAGGCCUUUGCUGGGAGGUGGGAUGGGGGAAUAACGCAAAGCCUUGGCGAUCAGUGUCUGGGUGUGUUUCACAGGGGUGCAGAGGAGGGGACCUGUCACCCCAGCCUUCCCCGCUGCUCAGUGGAAAUGUAGCUCCCUGGAUGUGCAGAUUUCUUGUGUCUGUCCCCCAGCCUCGCGUGGUUAUUUCUUGGGGGCCUGCAGCCAGGCUUGGGUUUGGGGGUGGUUCGGAUCGCUCCUUUUGCUUUCCCGGUCGGGAUUUUGGGCUGCGAGCUGCCGGUCGGGGUGGUGGGGAGCGGGGGAAGGCACGCUCUGGGCUGUGAAGGCAUUCCCGGGCCCUGGUGAUUAAUAGAAAUUUGUUUACGAGAAUAACCACCGCAGGUCACCGUGCCCUCGGUCCGCUGGUGCAGUUGCUCGGAGCUACUGAUUCCAGCCCUGGCGAGCCCACGGAGCGGCCACCUCGGCCGCAGAGUCCCCGGGUGCUGCUUUUAUUUUGAUUUCUCAGCUGAGCUCCUGAACCGAAACAUUUUAAAGCAAGGAGGUUGGGGGGCGGGGGG